UACGGGGGGGCAAGCGUUGUUCGGAAUUCCUGGGCGUAAAGGGCUCGUAGGCGGCCAACUCAGUCAGACGUGAAAUCCCUCGGCUUAACCGGGGAACUGCGUCUGAUACUGGAUGGCUUGAGUUCGGGAGAGGGAUGCGGAAUUCCAGGUGUAGCGGUGAAAUGCGUAGAUAUCUGGAGGAACACCGGUGGCGAAGGCGGCAUCCUGGACCGAUACUGACGCUGAGGAGCGAAAGCCAGGGGAGCAAACGGG
rnacentral:rRNA from 1 species